CGUGUUCGAUGUUUGAACUUGGAUU
rnacentral:miRNA from 15 species